rnacentral:tRNA from 1 species
AAGGAUUUAAGUUAAAUAAACUAUUAACCUUCAAAGUUGAAAUUGUGUAUAUUUCAUAUAUAAGCCUUA